rnacentral:rRNA from 1 species
GAUGAACGCUGGCGGCGUGCCUAAUACAUGCAAGUCGAGCGAACGGACGAGAAGCUUGCUUCUCUGAUGUUAGCGGCGGACGGGUGAGUAACACGUGGAUAACCUACCUAUAAGACUGGGAUAACUUCGGGAAACCGGAGCUAAUACCGGAUAAUAUUUUGAACCGCAUGGUUCAAAAGUGAAAGACGGUCUUGCUGUCACUUAUAGAUGGAUCCGCGCUGCAUUAGCUAGUUGGUAAGGUAACGGCUUACCAAGGCAACGAUGCAUAGCCGACCUGAGAGGGUGAGCGGCCACACUGGAACUGAGACACGGUCCGGACUCCGACGGGAGGCAGCAGUAGGGAAUCUUCCGCAAUGGGCGAAAGCCUGACGGAGCAACGCCGCGUGAGUGAUGAAGGUCUUCGGAUCGUAAAACUCUGUUAUUAGGGAAGAACAUAUGUGUAAGUAACUGUGCACAGCUUGACGGUACCUAAUCAGAAAGCCACGGCUAACUACGUG